AUUAGGGUUAUUUUAGGUUUUUAGUGAGGAGUGCGAUGAAGACUGCAAUGAAGACAAUACAGAAUCACCCAUCUUUUCAAAUGAAAAGAAUUUUUUAAGGAGGAUUCGAGACAAACCUUUCUCACCCUACCAAAGGUCUGUAAUGGAGGUUUUUUUAUUCUUUAGCAGUACUUAUAUGUAUCAUUCGACAGUAUUGUUUGUUCAUACUUUGAAUAACAGAAGAGUUGCCGUCGAUUUGAGUA